rnacentral:rRNA from 1 species
UACGUAGGGGGCUAGCGUUAUCCGGAAUUACUGGGCGUAAAGGGUGCGUAGGUGGUUUCUUAAGUCAGAGGUGAAAGGCUACGGCUCAACCGUAGUAAGCCUUUGAAACUGGGAAACUUGGGUGCAGGAGAGGAGAGUGGAAUUCCUAGUGUAGCGGUGAAAUGCGUAGAUAUUAGGAGGAACACCAGUUGCGAAGGCGGCUCUCUGGACUGUAACUGACACUGAGGCACGAAAGCGUGGGGAGCAAACAGG